GAUGAAGAACGUAGCGAAAUGCGAUAAGUAAUGUGAAUUGCAGAAUUCAGUGAAUCAUCGAAUCUUUGAACGCACAUUGCGCCCGCCAGUAUUCUGGCGGGCAUGCCUGUUCGAGCGUCAUUACAACCCUCAGGCCCCCGGGCCUGGCGUUGGGGAUCGGCGGAAGCCCCCUGUGGGCACACGCCGUCCCUCAAAAACAGUGGCGGUCCCGCCGCAGCUUCCAUUGCGUAGUAGCUAACACCUCGCAACUGGAGAGCGGCGCGGCCAUGCCGUAAAACACCCAACUUCUGAAUGUUGACCUCGAAUCAGGUAGGAAUACCCGCUGAACUUAAGCAUAUCAAUAAGCGGAGGA
rnacentral:misc_RNA from 1 species